AAUCUGGCUACACCUGGGAUCUAAGUGCUUUUCAUCUGAGAAAAUGCAUCUCUAUUCAGCCCCUCGGGACUUCCCUGAAGGAAAGAUAGGAUAUUUGAGGUAAGGGAUG
ensembl:misc_RNA